AUUCAGCAGUGAUUGUGCAGUAUAGUGGUGGAGUAUUCAGCAGUGAUUGUGUAGUAUAGUGGUGGAGUAUUCAGCAGUGAUUGUGCAGUAUAGUGGUGGAGUAUUCAGCAGUGAUUGUGUAGUAUAGAGGUGGAGUAUUCAGCAGUGAUUGUGUAGUAUAGAGGUGGAGUAUUCAGCAGUGAUUGUGCAGUAUAGUGGUGGAGUAUUCAGCAGUGAUUGUGUAGUAUAGAGGUGGAGUAUUCAGCAGUGAUUGUGUAGUAUAGUGGUGGAGUAUUCAGCAGUGAUUGUGUAGUAUAGUGGUGGAGUAUUCAGCAGUGAUUGUGUAGUAUAGAGGUGGAGUAUUCAGCAGUGAUUGUGUAGUAUAGAGGUGGAGUAUUCAGCAGUGAUUGUGCAGUAUAGUGGUGGAGUAUUCAGCAGUGAUUGUGUAGUAUAGAGGUGGAGUAUUCAGCAGUGAUUGUGUAGUAUAGUGGUGGAGUAUUCAGCAGUGAUUGUGUAGUAUAGAGGUGGAGUAUUCAGCAGUGAUUGUGUAGUAUAGAGGUGGAGUAUUCAGCAGUGAUUGUGUAGUAUAGAGGUGGAGUAUUCAGCAGUGAUUGUGCAGUAUAGUGGUGGAGUAUUCAGCAGUGAUUGUGUAGUAUAGAGGUGGAGUAUUCAGCAGUGAUUGUGUAGUAUAGAGGUGGAGUAUUCAGCAGUGAUUGUGUAGUAUAGAGGUGGAGUAUUCAGCAGUGAUUGUGUAGUAUAGAGGUGGAGUAUUCAGCAGUGAUUGUGUAGUAUAGCGGUGGAGUAUUCAGCAGUGAUUGUGUAGUAUAGAGGUGGAGUAUUCAGCAGUGAUUGUGUAGUAUAGAGGUGGAGUAUUCAGCAGUGAUUGUGUAGUAUAGAGGUGGAGUAUUCAGCAGUGAUUGUGCAGUAUAGUGGUGGAGUAUUCAGCAGUGAUUGUGUAGUAUAGAGGUGGAGUAUUCAGCAGUGAUUGUGUAGUAUAGUGGUGGAGUAUUCAGCAGUGAUUGUGUAGUAUAGAGGUGGAGUAUUCAGCAGUGAUUGUGUAGUAUAGAGGUGGAGUAUUCAGCAGUGAUUGUGUAGUAUAGAGGUGGAGUAUUCAGCAGUGAUUGUGCAGUAUAGUGGUGGAGUAUUCAGCAGUGAUUGUGUAGUAUAGAGGUGGAGUAUUCAGCAGUGAUUGUGUAGUAUAGUGGUGGAGUAUUCAGCAGUGAUUGUGUAGUAUAGUGGUGGAGUAUUCAGCAGUGAUUGUGUAGUAUAGAGGUGGAGUAUUCAGCAGUGAUUGUGUAGUAUAGAGGUGGAGUAUUCAGCAGUGAUUGUGUAGUAUAGUGGUGGAGUAUUCAGCAGUGAUUGUGCAGUAUAGUGGUGGAGUAUUCAGCAGUGAUUGUGUAGUAUAGAGGUGGAGUAUUCAGCAGUGAUUGUGUAGUAUAGAGGUGGAGUAUUCAGCAGUGAUUGUGUAGUAUAGAGGUGGAGUAUUCAGCUUUGAUUGUGUAGUAUAGUGGUGGAGUAUUCAGCAGUGAUUGUGUAGUAUAGUGGUGGAGUAUUCAGCAGUGAUUGUGUAGUAUAGAGGUGGAGUAUUCAGCAGUGAUUGUGUAGUAUAGAGGUGGAGUAUUCAGCAGUGAUUGUGUAGUAUAGAGGUGGAGUAUUCAGCUUUGAUUGUGUAGUAUAGUGGUGGAGUAUUCAGCAGUGAUUGUGUAGUAUAGUGGUGGAGUA